GACGAACGCUGGCGGCGUGCUUAACACAUGCAAGUCGAACGAUGAAGAAGAGAAACGCGAACUUCGGUUCAAAUUUCACUUCGGAUUAGUGGCAGACGGGUGAGUAACGCGUGAGCAACCUACCUCUUACAAAGGGAUAGCCUCGGGAAACCGUGAUUAAUACCAUAUGACACAUUCAUAAGGCAUCUUAAGAAUGUUAAAGCUACGGCGGUAAGGGAUGGGCUCGCGUCCCAUUAGCUAGUUGGUGAGGUAACGGCCCACCAAGGCGACGAUGGGUAACCGGGCUGAGAGGGUGAACGGUCACAGUGGAACUGAGACACGGUCCAAACUCCUACGGGAGGCAGCAGUGGGGAAUAUUGCACAAUGGAGGGAACUCUGAUGCAGCGACGCCGCGUGAGCGAUGAAGGAAUUCGUUUCGUAAAGCUCUGUUCUAUGGGAAGAAAAGGACUGUACCAUAGGAGAAAGCCCCGGCUAAAUACGUG
rnacentral:rRNA from 1 species